rnacentral:rRNA from 1 species
ACUCAAAGGAAUUGACGGGGGCCCGCACAAGCGGUGGAGCAUGUGGUUUAAUUCGAUGAUACGCGAGGAACCUUACCAAGGCUUAAAUGGGCUAUGCAGAGGGUGGAAACAUUCUUGUCCCUUCGGGGCAUAGUUCAAGGUGCUGCAUGGUUGUCGUCAGCUCGUGCCGUGAGGUGUCAGGUUAAGUCCUAUAACGAGCGCAACCCUUGCCUCCAGUUGCCAACACGUAAAGGUGGGGACUCUGGAGGGACUGCCUCUGUAAGGAGUGAGGAAGGUGGGGAUGACGUCAAAUCAUCACGGCCCUUACGUCUUGGGCCACACACGUGCUACAAUGGCCGGUACAGAGGGCAACUACUUAGCGAUAAGAUGUGAAUCUCAAAAGCCGGUCACAGUUCGGAUUGGAGUCUGCAACUCGACUCUAUGAAGCUGGAAUCGCUAGUAAUCGCAUAUCAGCCAUGAUGCGGUGAAUACGUUCCCGGGCCUUGUACACACCGCCCGU